ACCGAUUCUCCUGCCUCAGCCUCCUGAGUAGCUGGGAUUACAGGCAACAACUGGAAACAACCCAAGUAUCCGUCAGCUAGAGAAUGGAUAGACCCAUGUGGUCUGUGCAUACAGCGGAGUGCUGCUCAGUUAUACAAAGAAAAGAAACUAUGGAUACAGGCCACAGGAGGGAUGAACUUCAAAACAUUACAUCCCUGUUGACCAGGUGCUGUGGUAGGUACGGCCAUUAGAGAAAUGAGAAGCAGACGCCAUCUCCAUUGUGAUGAGACUCACCCCAUCAGCCGUUUCUGAACACUCAGACAGUUUCACCUUUGUCACCCAGGCUGGAGUGCA